rnacentral:ncRNA from 1 species
GGCCAGCAAUGGUCGUACGUAUUUUUACGUUCACUGUGAACAAAUCAGGACGCUUAGAGUAUGGCCACAUGAAUGACUCAGCGCAGUAUGAAGUCUUUGUUUUCUUCCGAAAACAAGCUCAAUGAGAGCCAUCGGGGGUAGAUCUAUCUCAUGACGAGUGGUGGAAUACUUUGACUCAUGAGAGAGAAGCUGAGGCGAAGGCGUCUACCUAGAGGGUUUCUGUCGAUCAAGGGCGAGAGUAGGAGUAUCCAACAGGAUUAGAGACCCUGGUAGUUCCUACCUUAAACGAUGCCGACAGGAGUUUGUCAUUUGUUAAUGGCAGAAUCUUUGGAGAAAUCAUAGUUCUUGGGCUCUGGGGGAACUACGACCGCAAGGCUGAAACUUGAAGGAAUUGACGGAAGGGCACACCAGGGGUGGAGCCUGUGGCUUAAUUUGAAUCAACACGGGGAAACUUACCAGGACCAGAUGUUUUUUAUGACUGACAGGCUUCGGGUCUUUCAGGAUAUUGUUUUUGGUGGUGCAUGGCCGUUGGUGGUGCGUGGGUUGACCUGUCUAGCGUUGAUUCAGCUAACGAGCGAGAUUAUCGCCAAUUAUUUACUUUGCCGAAGUCCUUCGGUUAAAGUUCUAAUUGGGACUCCCUGCGAUUUUAGCAGGUGGAAGAGGGUAGCAAUAACAGGUCCGUGAUGCCCUUUAGAUGCUCUGGGCUGCACGCGUGCUACAAUGUUAGGAUCAAUAGGACUGCGAGCCUGAGAGGGUGCGCUACUCUUAUAAUCCCUAACGUAGUUGGGAUUGACGUUUGUAAUCAGCGUCAUGAACCAGGAAUCCCUUGUAAAUGUGUGUCAACAACGCACGUUGAAUACGUCCCUGCCCUUUGUACACACCGCCCGUCGCUCCUACCGAUUGGAUGACUCGGUGAAAUCACCGGAUGCUUACGAGCAGAAAGUGAUUAAAUCACGUUAUCUAGAGGAAGGAGAAGUCGUAACAAGGUAACGGUAGGUGAACCUGCCGUGGAUCAGUC